UACGUAGGGUGCAAGCGUUGUCCGGAAUUAUUGGGCGUAAAGAGCUCGUAGGCGGUUUGUUGCGUCGGCUGUGAAAAUCCCGAGGCUCAACCUCGGGUCUGCAGUCGAUACGAGCAAACUAGAGUGUUGCAGGGGAGACUGGAAUUCCUGGUGUAGCGGUGAAAUGCGCAGAUAUCAGGAGGAACACCGGUGGCGAAGGCGGGUCUCUGGGCAACAACUGACGCUGGAGGAGCGAAAGCCGUGGGGAGCGAACAGG
rnacentral:rRNA from 1 species